AGGGUGUAUGCAUUUAUACAUCUUUUGUGUAUUAUUUUAUGUUAUUGCUCCAAUAAGUUUGUUACGUAUUGUCCAAGCAAAGGACACACGGCUGACAGAAGUGAACAGGGCCCUACUCAGCUAGGCAAUCUCCGAGUCAUUACCUCGAGUUGGGUGGCCAAGUCUCACCACCUCCACAGUCGUCUGCUGACUGAAGUUGUGCUUAUAC